CCCUUAGACACUCUAGGCGGCACGCGCGCUACAAUGGGUGGAAGACCGUGUUACUGCCCUCGAAAGAGGGGGUGAAUCACGAAUUCUCACCCGUGAAUGGGAUAGUUUGUUGCAAUUUUCGGACUUGAACUAGGAAUCCCUUGUAAGCAUGCUCAAGAAUAGUGUGCUGAAUACGUCCCUGCCGUUUGUACACACCGCCCGUCGUUUCUUCCGACUGAUACGAAUUGUGAGUUGCAAGGACCUCUCGGGGAAAUUGCCGCGAAUGCUUCGUAUUGGAGGAAGAAAAAGGCGUAACA
rnacentral:rRNA from 1 species